rnacentral:piRNA from 1 species
UACACCGAGCAGCGGACUCUGUGAUUAUAGU